rnacentral:rRNA from 1 species
AUACGGAGGGUGCGAGCGUUGUUCGGAAUUAUUGGGCGUAAAGAGCAUGUAGGCGGUCUGUUAAGUCUGGUGUGAAAGCCCGGGGCUCAACCCCGGAAGUGCAUUGGAUACUGGCAGACUUGAGUAUGGGAGAGGAAAGCGGAAUUCCGAGUGUAGGAGUGAAAUCCGUAGAUAUUCGGAGGAACACCAGUGGCGAAGGCGGCUUUCUGGACCAAUACUGACGCUGAGAUGCGAAAGCGUGGGGAGCGAACAGGAUUAGAAACCCCGGUAGUCC